AUUAGUGGCGGACGGGUGAGUAACGCGUGGAUAACCUGCCGUAUCCAGGGGGAUAACACUUAGAAAUAGGUGCUAAUACCGCAUAAGCGCACGGUUCCGCAUGGAACAGUGUGAAAAACUCCGGUGGUAUACGAUGGAUCCGCGUCUGAUUAGCCAGUUGGUGGGGUAACGGCCCACCAAAGCGACGAUCAGUAGCCGGCCUGAGAGGGUGAACGGCCACAUUGGGACUGAGACACGGCCCAAACUCCUACGGAAGGCAGCAG
rnacentral:rRNA from 1 species